CCAUGCCGCGUGGAUGAUGAAGGCCCUAGGGUUGUAAAGUCCUUUUAACGGGGAAGAUAAUGACGGUACCCGGUUACGAAUUAAGCCCCCGGCUAAACUUUCCGUGC
rnacentral:rRNA from 1 species